GCGGAAAAGGGGGGAAUGCUUUAACCGCUAAGCUACCCAGAC
rnacentral:tRNA from 1 species